GACGAACGCUGGCGGCGUGCUUAACACAUGCAAGUCGAACGGUGAAGCGCCUUCCUUUUUGGUGGGUGUGGAUGAGUGGCGAACGGGUGAGUAACACGUGAGUAACCUGCCCCCUUCUUCUGGAUAACCGCAUGAAAGUGUGGCUAAUACGGGAUAUUCUGUGUCUGUCGCAUGAUGGGUCUGGGAAAGAUAUUGUUUCGGUGGGGGAUGGGCUCGCGGCCUAUCAGCUUGUUGGUGGGGUGAUGGCCUACCAAGGCGGUGACGGGUAGCCGGCCUGAGAGGGUGGACGGUCACACGGGGAAUGAGACACGGACCAGACUCCGACGGGAGGCAGCAGUGGGGAAUAUUGCACAAUGGGCGCAAGGCUGAUGCAGCGACGCCGCGUGAGGGAUGGAGGCCUGCGGGUUGUGAACCUCUUUCGCCAGUGAAGCAGGCCUGCCUCGUUUGUGGGUGGGUUGACGGUAGCUGGAGAAGAAGCGCCGGCUAACUACGUG
rnacentral:rRNA from 1 species